AACGAACGCUGGCGGCAUGCCUAACACAUGCAAGUCGAACGAACCCUUCGGGGUUAGUGGCGCACGGGUGCGUAACGCGUGGGAAUCUGCCCUUUGCUUCGGUAUCACUCAGUGAAACUUGUGCUAAUACAGGUUGAUGUCUUCGGACCAAAGAUCUUUCGGCGAGGGGUGGGCCCGCGUAGGAUUAGGGAGUUGGUGGGGGAAAGGCCUACCAAGCCGACGAUCCUUAGCUGGUCUGGGAGGAGGACCAGCCACACUGGGGCUGCGACACGGCCCAGUCUCGGAGGGAGGGGAGCGGAGUGGUAUAUUGGACAAGGAGCGCAAGCGUGGUCCAGCAACGCCGCGGGAGAGAGGAAUGCGGUCGGAUCGUAAAUCUCUUUGAGCAGGGAUGAUAAUGACGGUAACGGGAGAAGAAGCACCGGCUAACUCCGUG
rnacentral:rRNA from 1 species